rnacentral:rRNA from 1 species
UACGUAGGGGGCUAGCGUUGUCCGGAAUCAUUGGGCGUAAAGAGCGUGUAGGCGGCCAGGUAGGUCUGCUGUGAAAACUCGAGGCUCAACCUCGAGACGUCGGCGGAAACCAUCUGGCUAGAGUCCGGAAGAGGAGAGUGGAAUUCCGUGGUGUAGCGGUGAAAUGCGCAGAUAUCAGGAAGAACACCCGUGGCGAAGGCGGCUCUCUGGGACGGUACUGACGCUGAGACGCGAAAGCGUGGGGAGCGAACAGG